rnacentral:rRNA from 1 species
AGUCUAUUGGGGGCCGCUAUUGUUAUAGUAUUUCGUAGUGGGAUAGGAGUAACAACUUUGGAGAGAGUAAGGUAUAUUGAAAUUUUGGAAGAUGUCUCGAUGGGAGUACCUGAGAAGGAAGUUUUAAUAAGGUCGGUUGUUAGUAGAGGUUAAAACUCGUACCUUUUGCAUCAGGGUUUGGCGAGAAGAAUGAGGUAUCUCUUAAUCCCGAAAUUAAAAGAGCUACCUCGUGUUCGGGCUUGGACUGUAGGGGGUUAACGUGGUAUUAGUUAUCCAAAAAACUAGAGGUAGGGGUGAAAUAUUAGGCGCUUUUAAUGAUAGCUGGUUGCUCUAGAAAUGGAUGUCAGUUCAGGUGUAUUGGGUGAGUUGCUGGGUGAAGAAAUUUGAGAUACGUCUGGGGAGUUUAGCUUAAGGUUGAGCUUUGAGGGGAAAGAAGUGCAGGGGAGUGAGAGUCUGCCUAUUAGCUGGGCUUGGGCACAUUAACGUUAUGCCUACACCCCCCCAGGUCUAGGUUUUAGGGGGCCAAAUGUAGCGAGUUUAUCGGCUUAGGGACAGCUCACUUAAUAUAUUAAAAGCGUUCAAGUUUACUUGUCUGGAAAUGGGAUAAUUAGUUGGGGGUUGGUUCUUAUAGGUGUAUGGGGCUAGGUAGCUGAGUGAAGAAAGCUGUGGAGAUAAUGCUAGAAUGAGUAGGUUUGGUUGAGGGCAUACUUAGCUGGCGUAUAAUGUUAGAGGUGGCCAGAGGAAGGGUUUUUCUUAGCUAAGUCGGUAAAAGGAAUUCGGCAAAGUAGCUUAUCCGGCUGUUUAUCAAAAACAUCGCCUCUGGUUAAGUGGUCAUAGAGCGGAGGUCGCACCUGCCCGGUGACGAGAGUUAAACGGCGGCCCUAACUAUGAGGGUCUCAAGGUAGCAUAUAAGUAGCCGGUUAAUAGUCGGAUGGGACGAAAGGAUAGUACGAGAGGGUAGCUGUCUCUUAUCGAUUUGAUUGAAGUAAAUUUUAGGGUGUAAAAGCCCUAAUUAUUUGGGAAGACGAGAAGACCCCGUGAAACUUUAGUUUGUUUUUGGGAGGAUUAGCUAACAGGGUUUAGCCCCUUCUGGGAGUUAAGCUUCAGUUGGGAGAGCUCAGGGGCAGAAAAAUCCCUCUGGAAAUAUUGGUGGUGGCUGAUGGGCGUCGAACUGUUCGAGGCGAGAGGUACUUGGAAUAAGUUACUCCGGGGGUAACAGCGUAAUCUUCCUUUGGAGCGCUUAUCUGUUGGAGGGUUUGCGACCUCGAUGUUGAAUGUGGUUAUCCUUGUGCCGCAACGGGUUAAAAAGGGUGGGAUUGCUAGUCCGAUAAAAACCAACCUGAUUUGAGUUAAGAACGGCGUGAGUUAGUUCGGUUUCUAUCUCCCAAAGAAGAUAUGGGGCUCUUUAGUACGAAAGGACCGAGAGGUCAGGUAGUUAUAGUGAGAAGUGAUAGGGGCUAAUAGGGAGUUAA